CCCAUUCGACCAGUCGCGUGCACCAGAGUAGGUCUGAUUCUGAGUUUUUGCUUGUAAUCCGAAUUCACUCGCGCAGCUGUCUGUAUUGCGUCGACUGACUUUGUUCUCCCUGCUUUCUUUCCGGCCAUUACUGAAAUGUAUUCGAUGCCCAACGGGGAGCAAGAGCAAGCUCUGGAAGGCGAGGCGAGUGGUGGCGAAAGUGCGAGUGGACUUCUGAUGGUGAAGGGGAUGGUGGAAGUGACGCCUCAAGUGAUGGGGAAGAAGUCGAGUCGCCUCCUCUCAUAGAGAGACGAUCCAAGCUUGACCAAGAACGGCCGAGUGCCCGCGACAAGGCAACUACUCAGGCUGGCCAGUCUUUGAAGCGUCCUCGGGUCUCUUCACCAACCCCAACUGAGAAGGCGCCAAAGCACCCCAAAGUUGCAGAGCCGAAGACUCGGAAGGCGCUGCCAAAGAUCAAGAUCGAUAUCCCUAUCGCCUCCGCCGCUGCCACUUCCGGGACCUCAGCUUACAGGGAUGAUGAUGAGGUGAUGGAGGAUGCGGUCACUUCUAAUCCAGGUAUGAUUUCUGCCAUACUAUCUUUCUUUGGUCGAUUCAAAUACAUCGUGCAUCAUUGGGUGACGUGAUUUUGGCAAUUUGAACUUUGCACAACUCCCAACAUUAUUGACCUCCCUGAUGAUGAUGAAGAGCCCGAGAGAUCUUUGACGAGGAAGAGUAGGCGAGCUCCUGCAAGUGAGGCGCUACAGUCGACGCCGAGGGUGGAACCAGUCGUUCAGGACACUAGUGACGUCAAUCGGGGUUCUGUUACCUUCGCGGAGCCACUGUCGAGUGCCUUGCCUUCUUCUUCGACUGCUCAGGCCCCUGUCGACCCGCCUUCAGUUUUUGCGACCCAUCAUGUCCUAGAGGAGGAGGUGAAUGCUGCUAGGGAAGCCAUACGCCAGGCGGGCAUUAUGAUGGAGAAGACGAAGAUGGUGCUGGAUGCCAGCCAAGCCACCUAUGAUGCCAGCUCGGCUCUCCAGAGCAACAUUCAGCUUAGUCGGCUAUCCGAAGAUUCUUUCCAAAAAUCUUUGUGUCUGUACACCCACUGGGUGCGUCGAUUGAAGUUUUGGACUAGUGGAGACUACGGUGGACUGCUGGCAGUCAACUGUAGUCUUUGUAUUUUGCCGAAUGUAUAAACCAAACUGGUAGUUUGUCUC